AUUGAACGCUGGCGGCAGGCCUAACACAUGCAAGUCGAACGAGUGGCGGACGGGUGAGUAAUGUCUGGGAAACUGCCUGAUGGAGGGGGAUAACUACUGGAAACGGUAGCUAAUACCGCAUAACAUCAUAUGUGCCCAGAUGGGAUCAGCUGGUAGGUGGGGUAACGGCUCACCUAGGCGACGAUCCCGAGCUGGUCUGAGAGGAUGACCAGCCACACUGGAACUGAGACACGGUCCAGACUCCUACGGGAGGCAGCAGUGGGGAAUAUUGCGCAAUUGGCGCAAGCCUGAUACAGCCAUGCCGCGUGUGUGAAGAAGGCCUUCGGGUUGUAAAGCACUUUCAGCGGGGAGGCGUUACCCGCAGAAGAAGCACCGGCUAACUCCGUGCCAGCGGCCGCGGUAAUUC
rnacentral:rRNA from 1 species